GAUGAACGCUGGCGGCGUGCCUAAUACAUGCAAGUCGAGCGAACAGACGAGGAGCUUGCUCCUCUGACGUUAGCGGCGGACCGGUGAGUAACACGUGGAUAACCUACCUAUAAGACUGGGAUAACUUCGGGAAACCGGAGCUAAUACCGGAUAAUAUAUUGAACCGCAUGGUUCAAUAGUGAAAGACGGUUUUGCUGUCACUUAUAGAUGGAUCCGCGCCGCAUUAGCUAGUUGGUAAGGUAACGGCUUACCAAGGCGACGAUGCGUAGCCGACCUGAGAGGGUGAUCGGCCACACUGGAACUGAGACACGGUCCAGACUCCUACGGGAGGCAGCAGUAGGGAAUCUUCCGCAAUGGGCGAAAGCCUGACGGAGCAACGCCGCGUGAGUGAUGAAGGUCUUCGGAUCGUAAAACUCUGUUAUUAGGGAAGAACAAAUGUGUAAGUAACUAUGCACGUCUUGACGGUACCUAAUCAGAAAGCCACGGCUAACUACGU
rnacentral:rRNA from 1 species